GAUGAACGCUGGCGGCGUGCUUAACACAUGCAAGUCGAACGGAAAGGCCCAAGCUUGCUUGGGUACUCGAGUGGCGAACGGGUGAGUAACACGUGGGUGAUCUGCCCUGCACUUCGGGAUAAGCCUGGGACACUGGGUCUAAUACCGGAUAGGACGAUGGUUUGGAUGACAUUGUGGAAAGUUUUUUCGGUGUGGGAUGAGCUCGCGGCCUAUCAGCUUGUUGGUGGGGUAAUGGGCUACCAAGGCGCCGACGGGGAGCCGGCCUGAGAGGGUGUACGGCCGCACUGGGACUGAGAGACGGCCCAGACUCCGACGGGAGGGAGAAGUGGGGAAUAUUGGACCAUGGGCGCAAGCGUGAUGCAGCGACGCCGCGUGGUGGAUGACGGCCUUCGUGUUGUAAGCUCCUUUCGCUAGGGACAAAGCGUUUUAGUGACGGUACCUGGAGAAGAAGCACCGGCUAACUACGUG
rnacentral:rRNA from 1 species